rnacentral:rRNA from 1 species
UGGGGAAUAUUGGACAAUGGGCGAAAGCCUGAUCCAGCCAUGCCGCGUGUGUGAAGAAGGUCUUCGGAUUGUAAAGCACUUUAAGUUGGGAGGAAGGGCUGCAAGCUAAUACCUUGUAGUUUUGACGUUACCAACAGAAUAAGCACCGGCUAACUUCGUGCCAGCAGCCGCGGUAAUACGAAGGGUGCAAGCGUUAAUCGGAAUUACUGGGCGUAAAGCGCGCGUAGGUGGUUUGGUAAGAUGGAUGUGAAAUCCCCGGGCUCAACCUGGCAACUGCAUCCAUAACUGCCUGACUAGAGUACGGUAGAGGGUGGUGGAAUUUCCUGUGUAGCGGUGAAAUGCGUAGAUAUAGUAAUGAACACCAGUGGCGAAGGCGACCACCUGGACUGAUACUGACACUGAGGUGCGAAA